AAAGCAACUCAGACAGCCGAGCUCUUUCUUCUCUCUCUUGUCGUCCCUCUCCUACCCUCACACUCUUAAAUUUUUCCUUCAACAAGAAAGACUCAUUGUUGGAAAAAUAACAAUUUUAAAUAACAUGUUAAAAUAGGUAAUUAAGUACUAUAAUUUAGUUGUAUUCUCCUUUCAUUAGAAGUUUAUUAUACAUACAUAAAUACACACGCAUACACACAUACACACUCUAAGAAUACUAUACAAGAAGCUGGAACGUAGAGUUUUUCGCGUAGCCGUCGGGCCCAUCUCCUCCUUUCAUUGAAAAUGCUUCUGAGAAUGUACUGGAUUCAGUUCAUCGCUGCUACUUGACACCAAUCAAAGACAAAGAUCAUACUGGACCUUGGAGUUUAAAAUUGGAUUGGCAGAGAUAUGUAAGGUAAGAUUUGUAAUUCGUAUAUAAGAAUAGAUUAGAUAAUCUACUUUAUUAUGAAUUCAUAAUUCAUCAUGUUCAGUUAUGUUUAUCUCAUAUUGACACAACAAACAACAAAUUAAAUUCAAAUAUAUUUCAAUUCGUCACAAGCCAUCUGAACCAGGCUACCAAACAUGUAGAAGAAAGUAGAAUUGAAAAAGUCCAUGGUGGUGAUGCAAUUUCAAACCAAUUAUUCAA